CAGCAUGUUUCCAAGGACUGUACUGGUUGAAGCCACGGGAUCUCCAACAGCACGAGAGAGGCCUCCUGGAGAGACCCUGACAGCUCAGGGCGGCGGAACACCUGCGGUGGCCACUUGCCUUUCCUAUACUU